GUCUAUGGCCAUGCCACCCUGAACAAGCCUGAUGUCUGAUCUUGGAAGCUAACCAGGGUCAGGCCAGGUUAGUACUUGGAUGGGAGACCACCUAGGAAGAUCAGGUGCUGUAGGCA
rnacentral:rRNA from 1 species